rnacentral:rRNA from 2 species
CGAUAGUGAACCAGUACCGUGAGGGAAAGGCGAAAAGAACCCCGGCGAGGGGAGUGAAAAAGAACCUGAAACCGUGUACGUACAAGCAGUGGGAGCACCCUUUGGGUGUGACUGCGUACCUUUUGUAUAAUGGGUCAGCGACUUAUAUUCUGUAGCAAGGUUAACCGAAUAGGGGAGCCGGAGGGAAACCGAGUCUUAACCGGGCGUUAAGUUGCAGGGUAUAGACCCGAAACCCGGUGAUCUAGCCAUGGGCAGGUUGAAGGUUGGGUAACACUAACUGGAGGACCGAACCGACUAAUGUUGAAAAAUUAGCGGAUGACCUGUGGCUGGGGGUGAAAGGCCAAUCAAACCGGGAGAUAGCUGGUUCUCCCCGAAAGCUAUUUAGGUAGCGCCUCGUGAAUUCAUCUCCGGGGGUAGAGCACUGUUUCGGCUAGGGGGCCAUCCCGGCUUACCAACCCGAUGCAAACUGCGAAUACCGGAGAAUGUUAUCACGGGAGACACACGGCGGGUGCUAACGUCCGUCGUGAAGAGGGAAACAACCCAGACCGCCAGCUAAGGUCCCAAAGUCAUGGUUAAGUGGGAAACGAUGUGGGAAGGCCCAGACAGCCAGGAUGUUGGCUUAGAAGCAGCCAUCAUUUAAAGAAAGCGUAAUAGCUCACUGGUCGAGUCGGCCUGCGCGGAAGAUGUAACGGGGCUAAACCAUGCACCGAAGCUGCGGCAGCGACACUGUGUGUUGUUGGGUAGGGGAGCGUUCUGUAAGCCUGUGAAGGUGUGUCGUGAGGCAUGCUGGAGGUAUCAGAAGUGCGAAUGCUGACAUAAGUAACGAUAAAGCGGGUGAAAAGCCCGCUCGCCGGAAGACCAAGGGUUCCUGUCCAACGUUAAUCGGGGCAGGGUGAGUCGACCCCUAAGGCGAGGCCGAAAGGCGUAGUCGAUGGGAAACGGGUUAAUAUUCCCGUACUUGGUGUUACUGCGAAGGGGGGACGGAGAAGGCUAUGUUGGCCGGGCGACGGUUGUCCCGGUUUAAGCGUGUAGGUGUGUGUUCCAGGUAAAUCCGGUUCACUUUAACACUGAGGCGUGACGACGAGGCACUACGGUGCUGAAGCAACAAAUGCCCUGCUUCCAGGAAAAGCCUCUAAGCAUCAGGUAACAUCAAAUCGUACCCCAAACCGACACAGGUGGUCAGGUAGAGAAUACCAAGGCGCUUGAGAGAACUCGGGUGAAGGAACUAGGCAAAAUGGUGCCGUAACUUCGGGAGAAGGCACGCUGACACGUAGGUGAAGUGAUUUACUCAUGGAGCUGAAGUCAGUCGAAGAUACCAGCUGGCUGCAACUGUUUAUUAAAAACACAGCACUGUGCAAACACGAAAGUGGACGUAUACGGUGUGACGCCUGCCCGGUGCCGGAAGGUUAAUUGAUGGGGUCAGCGCAAGCGAAGCUCCUGAUCGAAGCCCCGGUAAACGGCGGCCGUAACUAUAACGGUCCUAAGGUAGCGAAAUUCCUUGUCGGGUAAGUUCCGACCUGCACGAAUGGCGUAAUGAUGGCCAGGCUGUCUCCACCCGAGACUCAGUGAAAUUGAACUCGCUGUGAAGAUGCAGUGUACCCGCGGCAAGACGGAAAGACCCCGUGAACCUUUACUAUAGCUUGACACUGAACAUUGAGCCUUGAUGUGUAGGAUAGGUGGGAGGCUUUGAAGUGUGGACGCCAGUCUGCAUGGAGCCGACCUUGAAAUACCACCCUUUAAUGUUUGAUGUUCUAACGUGGACCCGUUACCCGGGUUGCGGACAGUGUCUGGUGGGUAGUUUGACUGGGGCGGUCUCCUCCUAAAGAGUAACGGAGGAGCACGAAGGUUGGCUAAUCCUGGUCGGACAUCAGGAGGUUAGUGCAAUGGCAUAAGCCAGCUUGACUGCGAGCGUGACGGCGCGAGCAGGUGCGAAAGCAGGUCAUAGUGAUCCGGUGGUUCUGAAUGGAAGGGCCAUCGCUCAACGGAUAAAAGGUACUCCGGGGAUAACAGGCUGAUACCGCCCAAGAGUUCAUAUCGACGGCGGUGUUUGGCACCUCGAUGUCGGCUCAUCACAUCCUGGGGCUGAAGUAGGUCCCAAGGGUAUGGCUGUUCGCCAUUUAAAGUGGUACGCGAGCUGGGUUUAGAACGUCGUGAGACAGUUCGGUCCCUAUCUGCCGUGGGCGCUGGAGAACUGAGGGGGGCUGCUCCUAGUACGAGAGGACCGGAGUGGACGCAUCACUGGUGUUCGGGUUGUCAUGCCAAUGGCACUGCCCGGUAGCUAAAUGCGGAAGAGAUAAGUGCUGAAAGCAUCUAAGCACGAAACUUGCCCCGA